rnacentral:rRNA from 1 species
UACGUAGGGGGCAAGCGUUGUCCGGAUUUAUUGGGCGUAAAGAGCGUGUAGGCGGCCAGACAAGUCUGCUGUGAAAACUCGAGGCUCAACCUCGAGCUGUCGGUGGAAACUGUCUGGCUAGAGUCCGGAAGAGGAGAGUGGAAUUCCUGGUGUAGCGGUGAAAUGCGUAGAUAUCGUAAGGAAGACCAGUGGCGAAGGCGGGUCUCUGGACAGUUCCUGACGCUGAGGCACGAAGGCCAGGGGAGCAAACGGG